AGGUUCCCACAGGAAGGACACCUGCCCCACUGGAACAGGGCGUCUGGCGGGACACACAAAGGUCUCCCUUGUGCUUAGAGGGGCGUCCUGAGUAGAGGGCUGGCUCUUAAAGGCACAAGAGGACGAU
rnacentral:snoRNA from 1 species